rnacentral:sRNA from 13 species
GCUGGGCAUGGUGGCGCAUGCCUGUAAUUCCAGCUACUCCGGAGGCUGAGGCAGGAGAAUUGCCUGAACCCAGGAGGCGGAGGUUGCAAUGGCAGUGAGCUGAGAUCACGCCAUUGCACUCCAGCCUGGGUAACAAGAGUGAAACUCUGUCUCAA